AUCCCUCGCUGCUAAGCUAUCCCUCGCUGCUAAGCUAUCCCUCGCUGCUAAGCUAUCACUGCUAAUCUAUCUAUUGCUGCAAGCUAUCCCUCGCUGCUAAGCUAUCGCUGCCAACCUAUCUAUUGCUGCAAGCUAUCCCUCGCUGCUAAGCUAUCGCUGCCAACCUAUCUAUCACUGCCAACCUAUCUAUCGCUGCCAAUUUAUCUACCACUGCCAAUCUAUCUAUUGCUGCUAAUCUAUCGCUGCUGUCAAUCUAUCUAUCACUGCUAAUCUAUCUAUCGCUGCUAAUCUAUCGCCGCUGCCAAUCUAUCCCUCACUGCUAAGCUAUCCCUCGCUGCUAAGCUAUCACAGCCAAUCUAUCGCUGCUAAUCUAUCGCUGCCAACCUAUCUACCGCGGCGAAUCUAUCUAUCGCUGCCAAUUUAUCUACCACUGCCAAUCUAUCUAUCGCUGCCAAUCUAUUGCUGCUAAUCUAUCGCUGCUAAUCUAUCGCUGCUGCCAAUCUAUCUUUCGCUGCUAAUCUAUCGCCGCUGCCAAUCUAUCCCUCGCUGCUAAGCUAUCCCUCGCUGCUAAGCUAUCCCUCACUGCUAAGCUAUCUCUCGCUGCUAAGCUAUCCCUCACUGCUAAGCUAUCCCUCACUGCUAAGCUAUCCCUCACUACUAAGCUAUCUAUCACUGCUAAUCUAUCGCUGCCAACCUAUCUAUCACUGCCAAUCUAUCUAUCGCUGCUAAUCUAUCGCUGCUAAUCUAUCGCUGCUAAUCUAUCGCUGCUAAUCUAUCGCUGCCAACCUAUCUACCGCGGCGAAUCUAUCUAUCACUAUCAUUACUAGUUCAAAAUAGAACUAGAGCAUAAAUACACUAAACUUCUUUUGAUAGAUAAUGAUUUUUGGUAACACUCAUAGCAUUAUAUCAUCUAUAUAGGGUAAAUCAUGGUCCCAUUUGGUCCCAUUUUAACAAAAUGGGACCAAAUGGGACCAGAAUCAGUAAUUUAUAAGAAGAACAUGACCUGGGACUAGAUUUAUAAUAUAAACAGUGUAAAGUGACUAAUUUAAUAAACACUAUAUGAGACCAG
rnacentral:sRNA from 1 species